rnacentral:rRNA from 1 species
UACGUAGGUGACAAGCGUUGUCCGGAUUUACUGGGCGUAAAGAGCGCGCAGGCGGUCGAUCAAGUCGAGUGUGAAAGCCCCCGGCUCAACUGGGGAGGGUCAUUCGAUACUGAUCGACUCGAAGGCAGGAGAGGGUAGUGGAAUUCCCGGUGUAGUGGUGAAAUGCGUAGAUAUCGGGAGGAACACCAGUGGCGAAGGCGACUACCUGGCCCGGUACUGACGCUGAGGCACGAAAGCGUGGGGAGCAAACAGGG